rnacentral:rRNA from 1 species
GACGAACGCUGGCGGCGUGCUUAACACAUGCAAGUCGAACGGAAAGGCCCUGCUUUUGUGGGGUGCUCGAGUGGCGAACGGGUGCGUAACACGUGAGUAACCUGCCCUUGACUUUGGGAUAACUUCAGGAAACUGGGGCUAAUACCGGAUAGGAGCUCCUGCUGCAUGGUGGGGGUUGGAACGUUUCGGCUGUUGGGGAUGGACUCGCGGCUUAUCAGCUUGUUGGUGGGGUAGUGGUUUACCCAGGCUUUGACGGGUAGCCGGCCUGUGAGGGGGACCGGGCACAAUGGGACUGAGGGACGGACCAGUCGGGUACGGGAGGCAGCAGGGGGGAAUAUGGCACAAUGGGAGGAAGCCUGAUGCAGCGACGCCGCGGGCGGGAUGACGGCCUGCGGGUAGUAAACCGCUUUCGCCUGUGACGAAGCGGGAGUGACGGUAAUGGGUAAAGAAGCACCGGCUAACUACGUG